rnacentral:rRNA from 1 species
UCAAGAAACUUCCACGAUGGGCGAAAGCCUGAUGGAGCGACGUCGCGUGAUGGACGAAGUGCUUCGGCACGUAAACAUCUUUUUAUGUGGGAUGAAAUUAUUGACAGUACCACAUGAAUAAGGGGCUCCUAACUCUGUGCCAGCAGGAGCGGUAAUACAGAGGCCCCAAGCGUUAUCCGGAAUCACUGGGCGUAAAGGGUGUCGAGGCGGUUGUAUUAGUCGUUCGUAAAAUCUACGAGCUUAACUUGUAGGCGGCGAACGAAACGGUACGACUUGAGGUUUGGAGAGGUGCGUGGAACUCACGGUGUAGGGGUGAAAUCCGUUGAUAUCGUGGGGAACACCAAAGGCGAAGGCAGCGCACUGGCCAAAAUCUGACGCUCACACACGAAAGCUAGGGUAGCGAAGAGGAUUAGAUACCCGUGUAGUCCCUGAGCGGGCUGGCAAGGCGCAU